rnacentral:rRNA from 1 species
UACAGAGGGUGCGAGCGUUGUUCGGAAUUACUGGGCGUAAAGGGCUCGUAGGCGGCCAACUAAGUCGGACGUGAAAUCCCUCGGCUUAACCGGGGAACUGCGUCCGAUACUGGAUGGCUUGAGUUUGGGAGAGGGAUGCGGAAUUCCAGGUGUAGCGGUGAAAUGCGUAGAUAUCUGGAGGAACACCGGUGGCGAAGGCGGCAUCCUGGACCAACACUGACGCUGAUGAGCGAAAGCCAGGGGAGCAAACGGG